AGUGUGCAUCACAUGAGUAUACAUCAAUUUUGUACAUGUGUGAUGUUAUUAUAGGCUUUUCUCUGGAUGUACUUGUGCCGAAUGCAGCCCUGAUCACCAAGAACAACAGAAUAACAGGCUCCUUCACGGUGAAGGAAAAGGAAAAGUGUGCUGCUUUCCCACAACUCCUAUAACCACUAGGCCUGGAUGGACAUUAUAUAUUUGUAUUGUUUCAAAAAUCUGUAACCUUAUUAUUCAUGAAGAUAAAUUAAUACAGCUUUGUUUAUAAUA